CGCGGUAUUGAACAGGCGCGGCGCUUGCGGCACUUCCAUUGCCGCCAGCUUCUGGCCGGGUUCGAACCCCCACGACCGCGU
rnacentral:tRNA from 5 species